CUCCUCUCAAUAAUCAUCCUCUCCUCCCCAGCUCUUUCUUCUCCCGCUCCUUCCCAGCUCUUCCAGUCCACUCAUCCUCCCCACUCCAGAGCCUCCCCAUCUCCUAGAUUAUUCCCCAACUACACACUCCCUAUUUUCUCGGGACCCGCCUCUCCACUCUUUCCUUAUCCUGGAUCUUGCUCUUUCUGACCUCUCUUGCCACUUUUUCUGGCUCCUCCUCUCUUCCAGCUCUUCCCCUCUCCCUUUCCUCUAGAUCUCCUCUCUCAGCACCCCAUCAAAACACACCAGUUCCUCCUCUCUCCCAGCCACCCCUCAACCCCCGCCUCCCCUUCUCUUCCCCACCCCUCUCUGGCCGCUCCUCCACUCCCUCUGGGUCUUUGGCCCCGUCCCACGGAAUGAUCGAUGGGUCCGUCCGCAGGCGGGACCUCGGCGCUCGGCUCGCCACGCCUGCGACGCUGCCAUGGAGACGUAGUCGCGGCCUUCUGGCUCCACCCAGGACCUGAAUCCCUUGCGUCAGCAGGCCCACGCGUGUCCGCGAGCUCCGGUGACAAAGUCCGCUCCGCUGGAGCUUCCAGGCAGAGGUGACUUUGCUGGGCGCAGAGGCGUGGGGCUUGCAUCCUUCUUCCUCCCAGGAGUUCUCUGUUCCAUAGCUGAGGAACACGUCUCUCACCAGCGGAGAGGAGACCCUGAGACCACCAACCAUCCGUGGGUUAUUAAGGGCCCUGCGAUUGUCCACCUGCCUCACCCUUCCACUCAGCUCAACUAGCUGCAUCCUGUCACCCUUGGUAGGAGUGGAAGACUGGCUAGAAGAAAGGACCUGAACCAACGCUUAGUUCAGUGGUGUGGGCAGGUCAACCCCUGCUGCCAGAACCCUGAAUACAUCUUUUUGAGCUCAGCAGUAUUGCAGAGGCAGCCUUCCCAGGAGUGGUGUGGAGUCACUGUCAACACUAUAGAACUUUCUGUCUGGAAUGGCUCUGACAUGGCUUCUGAAUGGUCAGAGAUGUCUUGGAUUUUCCUGCCCUCCUGAGGAUCUUGCCUAUGGAAGGUGGAGUUACCUACGUUCACUAUUAAGUUGAACAAGGACUCCUGAACCCAACAGCCAUCAGGGUUGUUGGCCAAUUAACAAAGCAAAUCAGCCAGCUGUUCGUGGCCUAGGAGGAAGCCGGGUGUGCAGGACCUGGGCCUGUGGGAUGAGUAGGCGAGUCCCGCUGGCAGAGAAGGCCCUGUCUGAAUCCUAUGCCCGCCUCCGGUACAGGGACAUGUCCUUGCUCAUUUGGCAACAGCAACAGCAGAAGUUGGAGUCUGUACCACCCAGUACAUACCUGAGCAGAAGCCGCAGCAUGUGGUACUCGCAGUAUGGGAAUGAGGCCAUCUUAGUCCGAGACAAGAACCAGCUUGGGGUCUCUAGGGACACCGGCCAGUCUAGGUUUUGCUCAAUCAUGUAAUUCCAGGGAGAAGACCCUUGAUGGCCAUAAAGAUCAAGUCGUGGUAUAAAAACCUAACACCCAAGAAUGUCAUGCAACCCUUUAUUAGUGGCACAGCGGGUACCUAGAUGCUCCCCUCACUGCCCAGGCCCAGACCCUGGAAAUGCUUCCAAACAAAAGGGAAGCAAGAGAGACCCCCAUCUGCUCCUAUGAGGCUAAUAUAGGUCAGGUCCUGGGUAAGGAGGGGACUCUCUUCUUGCAAGGUCCCAGAUCUGUCAGCUCACUGCAGUGACAUGUGAAAGGGGGCCAGUGACCAAUUGGUCUGUAUGUCACUGCAUUGUGGUAGCAUCCACACUGGCCACCAGAUGUGGUCUCACACAUAGGUACGUCCUCUCAAGUGUGGGGAAGUACUGGAGCCUCUUCUAUCAGACUGCAAAGGUACCCAUUCAGAGGCAAGCAUGGUCCACCCCAUGGCUAUGCAAAUGUGGGGUACGUUUUUGCCAAAACUGAGCUUUCUAAAUAAACGUCUUAGGACUUCUC
rnacentral:sRNA from 1 species